AAUAUAGUACUGAAGAUUCUAAGACCAUAAGUCAUUAUGUAUCAAUAGUUAUUAUAUAAUAAUUAUUAUUAUAAUAGUUGUGUUUAAUAUUUAGUGUUUUGUGCUAUCUCCACUAUAGUCUCCUACAGAAAAUAUUAAUGAUAAAUCACCGUCCAAACGUACUCAAGUAAAAUCACUUACUCAUUGAAAACUCCGGUAAAGAAUAUUAGAGAAAGCAAUCUUCAUUCAUGCUGCCAACAGUGAAAAUGUUUACUAUCAAACCGUCUAACAAACCAACAGCAGUUUCAAUGAGUAAUUUUGUCGAUCAUUUUUAUGCUACAGAAAAACGGUUAGAAUCUCCCAGAACUUUACCUAAGAGCAGAGAAAUGCUUUAUGAAUCAAGUUCUUAUGCACAACUUGCUCAAUGUGUUGAUUCUUUAAAGCACCAAUUAAGAACAAGUUGUUUGAUAGUUUGAUGACUGAUGAGAGUAUAAAAUGUGCUUUGAAAAUAAUAACUUUUUGUGGAACUAUGAACUUGGAUAAUAACUUCUUAGACUAAAUUUCGUAACGAUAUUGUAGCGGACGAAAAUGACUGGACGUUAUAUGAUUCUACGACUUCAAGAUAACCUUACUAACACCAACGGAUUGAUACAACAACAACAAGGUUACUACUAAAAAUUAUUAAAAUAGUUUUCAUAAAUUUACUCGAGUUUUAAACUCGCAAGAUGUCAUAAUUCAUAGAAAUUGAUGCAAGAAUGAAUAUUCAAUCGUACUACAUUUGAAAACAUGAGGUAUUGAUGUUUAUUUAAAAAAAGCCAAGCUCUGCUCAGAAUAACUACUUGAUACAAUCGAGGGACACGCAUACAAGACUGAUCAAAAUAUCAUCCAAGACGUCAAAUGAAGGAACGAAAAUCGGAUGUUUUAUUAAACUGAAUGAACUCAUCUUUAAUUGAACUCAAGUGCCAAAACAAAGAAUUUGCCGUAAAACUAUUUUAUAACUGCAUAUAUGAAAUUAAUUUCUUUCUCUUAGAUUUCUUGAUAUAUUUUUAUGAAAAAUUAUGUAUGUUAAUGUAUCUAAUAUCAGAGUAAUAAUAUCAUCUUGUAUACUGUACACAAUUUAAAUACUUCAAAAUUACGUUAUAAUUGAAAAAAACCAACCAAAUAAAUUAUUUGUAAAAAAAAAAGUUUAUUUAUAUACUAAAAACAAAAUAUUGAUUUUUUUUGUUUUUAGUUUGUAAGUAGAAAAUAUUUUAUUUUUUAUGAAUAAAAUAUAAGUUAUUAUUGUUAGUAAAAACAGGUAACUUGAUCAGUCAUUACUUUCCAAAGCAAAUAGUAGUAAUUUUUAAACAUAACUGUAUGGACGUUACACAUAAAAACAAAUUGUGCAUUAUAACUUUAAAUUAGUAUAUUUUUUGUUUGGAUAAUUUAAUAUUUUAUUAUACGUAUUGAUUUAAAUAGUUUGUUUACUAUUACAAUAUUAUUACAUGUGAAUUUCUUUAUUAUAAUUAAUUUCUUUUUAUUCUUAUUAAGUAUAAGUAUCAUUAAUAAAAAAAUAGUUCAAACAAAACAAAUGUUCAAUUAUAGUUCAUAUUUAUUGUAAAUUAGUAGAUAAUUUGUCUGAACGAUGACUGAUGAGACAGUAUGCAGGUAUCGUUUCCUCUGUGCCGUAAAGUGUAUGUUUCCGUCAGUAAUAGUGCUACAGGCUUUUGAGAAAAAUUAUGUAUUUAUAUAAUACUAUUAUGACUAUAAUGGCAUAAUAAUAUUAUAUAGGUACAUAAUUUUUUUUAUAAAUGUCUAACAUGUAAAUGUUCAUAAUUAUUUUUAAAAAAUGUGUUUAAGUUAUAGAAAUAGAAAUUGUAGCAACAUAUGACAUA